rnacentral:rRNA from 1 species
UACGGAGGGGGGCUAGCGUUGUUCGGAAUUCUGGGCGUAAAGCGCACGUAGGCGGCUUUUGUAAGUUAGAGGUGAAAGCCCAGGGCUUAACCCCUGGAAUUGCCUUUAAGACUGCAUCGCUUAGAAUUGUGGAGAGGUAAGUGGAAUUCCGAGUUGUAGAGGUGAAAUUCGUAGAUAUUCGGAAGAACACCAGUGGCGAA